UUACCAGACUCCUACGGGAGGCAGCAGUGGGGGAUAUUGCACAAUGGGGGGAACCCUGAUGCAGCGACGCCGCGUGGGUGAAGAAGCGCCUCGGCGCGUAAAGCCCUGUCAGCAGGGAAGAAAAUGACGGUACCUGAAGAAGAAGCCCCGGCUAACUCCGUGCCAGCAGCCGCGGUAAUACGGGGGAUGCGAGCGUUAUCCGGAUUUAUUGGGUUUAAAGGGUGCGUAGGCGGCGCUUCAGGUCAGCGGUGAAAUACCGGGGCUCAACCCCGGGGCUGCCGUUGAAACCGGAGCGCUAGAAUUCCGAUGCCGUCGGAGGAAUGUGUGGUGUAGCGGUGAAAUGCAUAGAUAUCACACAGAACACCGAUUGCGAAGGCAGCAUACCGGUGCACAACUGACGCUCAGGCACGAAAGCGUGGGUAUCGAACAGGAUUAGAUACCCGUGUA
rnacentral:rRNA from 1 species